GGUGACUUGAUUACAGUGCAUAAAUACCUUCCUGGGGAGAAAACACCAGGUCCUGAAGAGCUCUCCAAUCUCUUCAGAAAAGGUCAGCUCCAGCUUGCUGACAGACACGAGGUGAGCUGAUGCCUGACGCUAUGUGGAGACCGAUGUGGCUUUACAAAAACCAGCCUUGGAUGAUGCCUGGGUACAGGGGCACCUUGAUCUGGAGAAGAGUCUGCCGCAGGGAUGGGAUUGAGUGUGCUCUCAUCAUGGCCCUGCAGGGAUACUGCAAGGGAUUUCCUUAUGCCCUUGGAAGACCUGAUCCCGAGCUGCUGGAGUUGGAGGACCUGAUCCUAACCUGCUGGAGUUGACGGGAAUCUUUCCAAAUGGCCCAUCAUGUGAGGCCACGGAUAGGAAAUCAGCACAGAUUUCUCUGCUCUCUCUUUCUCGGCUGCUAAUACCUGCAUCCAUGCUAGUGAAGCUGCAAAUGUGACCCAAUACAGUGCUAAUGCUCCUGUAGUAGUGACCGACCUUGAGGAAGCCACUGAGCCUACCUCAUGCCCAGCUGCCCCAUCUAGCAGGGGGCAAGGAACCUGCAUCCCGGCCUCCGUUGCUGAGACAAUAAACUUCAUCCCUAACCAGACGUGCCCACCCUGUGCAACCUGCCCUACACAAGGUGACUGCCAUAGGCACUAGCCCAGCUGACACCAGAAUCUCUUUGUUGAGGAAGCCAUAACUUGUGUGAGUGAGCUAUUUCCAGGGGCCUGAAAAGGGCCAGGAGGAUCAGGGAGCUGGUGCGGGGAUGGGAAGGGCCAGGCAUCUCCCCUGAGCACUCAGCAGCCCCCAUAUGAGAGGGGAAGCCUAACACGCGUGCGCCCGGCUCAGCGUCAGCGUGAAGGGGGCUGUCAAACAACAUCAUUUAUCUCCUCUGGCAGAUCAAUCAGAGGCCAGAAGUCAAAUCUGCCUUAUGUGGAAAAUAUACUGUGGUGCAUAAUUAUCCCCGAGAAUG